AGUGAACGCUGGCGGUAGGCCUAACACAUGCAAGUCGAACGGCAGCACAGUAAGAGCUUGCUCUUACGGGUGGCGAGUGGCGGACGGGUGAGGAAUACAUCGGAAUCUACUUUUUCGUGGGGGAUAACGUAGGGAAACUUACGCUAAUACCGCAUACGACCUACGGGUGAAAGCAGGGGAUCUUCGGACCUUGCGCGAUUGAAUGAGCCGAUGUCGGAUUAGCUAGUUGGCGGGGUAAAGGCCCACCAAGGCGACGAUCCGUAGCUGGUCUGAGAGGAUGAUCAGCCACACUGGAACUGAGACAAGGUCCAGACUCCUACGGGAGGCAGCAGUGGGGAAGAUUGGACAAAGGGCGCAAGCCUGAUCCAGCCAUACCGCGUGGGUGAAGAAGGCCUUCGGGUUGUAAAGCCCUUUUGUUGGGAAAGAAAAGCAGCAGGUUAAUACCCCGCUGUUCUGACGGUACCCAAAGAAUAAGCACCGGCUAACUUCGUG
rnacentral:rRNA from 1 species